CGCCGCCCCGCCCAUAUACCCGGCGCCGCCCUAGCUCCGUGCGCGCCGCAGACUCCGACCAACUACGCGGCGCUGCCUUGACCACCUGCAUCCCGCCUCCUAUCUCCCUACGUGUCGUCGGCGUUGACCAGCUGAGCGCCGCCGCCACACCAAGAUCCAUGCUGGAGGUCCACUACCUGUCCGGGUCUAAUCUCCCGUGCUCCUCCCCCCGAGUUCUUCGCUUCCUCUGUCGCCGUAAGCCAGCCACGGUGAGCGCCGUCCCUCCCCGUCAACUCUCUCCGACCUUCCCCAUCAACUCUCUCUGACCUUCCCCGCACCUCUCCUAGCUGCAGCGCACGAUGCUUCGGGGCAUCCCAGGUUCCUCUCCAAAAACACUCGUGCGUAGUGCUCCCAUGAAAAUCCUCUCGUGUGUGCAAAGCUAUGUCAUCCAACUACUAUGGCUAAAUCUGUUUAGCAGUUUUUACUCUUUGAACUAGCUGACGAACAUGCUCCUACAUAUGGAUGUGUUGCUCAUGUAAAAAUGUGUUAACUGGACUUCACAAUGUUGACCGAACUGCAGGGAUGUCUGUGUCUCAUUUACGGUAAAAUUUCUUGUUUUCCCCUUUUACAACCAUUGAGCUAAUUUUGAGAUAUCCAGAGACAUUCCAUGAACUUCUACAACUACCAUAUGUCAACUCCUACUACGGCUAUACACCCGGUCACUUGGUUUGCGUGACUUGCUGCUACUAGCUACCUCCUCUCCAGGUGCUGACGAGGAGCCGGGCCAUCACCAUCCCCGCAUGCGUGCAAUCAGUCCAGCUGCACCGAGGAAUGCAUGCACUUGCAGCCAAGAGUGGACUACCAGUCCAUGUUCAAGUUCUGCCCUUUCUGUGCAUCCACCCCUGUGAUUGCUGCAUCUCCAGCGGCUAAUCCCCUAGUUCCAUGUUUCUUUGGAGAAUUUUUUUGUAUGACUUUGGUGAAAGUUGUAUUGUGUUUGUACAGAUUUUGGUGCAGAGAAGACCGUAGGAAACCUAAAAACAGUACAUGUAUUUAGUGCAGAUUUGGUGCCAUCAACAUGUUUCUGGUUAUGUCUAUGGUAGCUAACGUAGCUUUAUCCUUUGACCAAAUUUUUGCAAGCAACAAAAAUUCUUACAUGUGUAAUAUAUAAGUUCCAAUGUGAGAAUACCUAUACAGAGC
rnacentral:rRNA from 1 species